UAGGGAAUAUUGCACAAUGGGGGAAACCCUGAUGCAGCAACGCCACGUGUGGGAAGAAGCAUUUCGGUGUGUAAACCACUGUCGAUAGGGAAUAAACGCCGUUUACGGACGGCCUGAAUGUACCUGUAAAGGAAGCACCGGCAAACUUCGUGCCAGCAGCCGCGGUAAUACGAGGGGUGCAAGCGUUGUUCGGAAUCACUGGGCGUAAAGGGAGCGUAGGCGGAACUCCAAGUCAGUCGUACAAUGCCGGGGCCCAACCCCGGAUCUGCGGCCGAUACUGGUUUUCUUGAGUUGUUUAGAGGCAGGCGGAAUUCCAGGUGUAGCGGUGGAAUGCGUAGAGAUCUGGAAGAACACCAAUGGCGAAGGCAGCCUGCUGGGAACAAACUGACGCUGAGGCUCGAAAGUGUGGGUAGCAAACA
rnacentral:rRNA from 1 species